CAGUUAUCCGAGUCGUAUCGGAGUCGGUGGCAGCCGGGUGGCUCACUGAGUCCAAGGUAUAUGAAUAAGGUCGUCCCUUGUAUCCACAGUCACUGGACACGUCCCUCAAUGUGCAAAACUUGCUUAUUUGGAUUACAUAAAAAGAUUGCACGUUAUAGAAAAGUGCAUUGCCGUUUUGUGUUGUCUCUGACUUUUACCUUCCAUUUUAUGUUCUGCCUAAAAAAAGAAAAAAAAAAAACUUGCAUUACGUACGUUACGUUUACUGUUCUCCCGCGGACGUGCUUUCUUGAAACGUGGUUGCCAGACGCUUAAUUAAAACAUCAACGUUGUUCUUUAAAUUCUCUCAAAACUACACAUUCUUUGGAAGUAUUGCAUACUUACCUGAAUUAUGUACAGUAUUUUAGAAUUAGACAAAUUUUCACAUGAAAAACUAUUUCACGUUAGUUUAGGCAAAUUUAUUGCUAUCUGGCAACUAUUGUUGCAUGCGCUGACUUUAGUCAUCUGAGUUCACAGCUGUAGCAGAAGUGAAGAACACAACCUACUAAACUUCCGCUUAAGACAAACCUACUCUGUUCUCUUCUUCAGAUUUACCACUUACCGUUCUCAAACGUACCUAACAUCCAAGAACCAUCUUUAUAGUAUUCUUCAAGAAUGUGACUCGUGCAAAAUAAGGCUAAAUCUUGGCCAAAGGUUGUGAAAUACAGUGAGGCUCGAUCGUGAAAGCGAUUUCGAAAUCCGGCGAAAAUGUUUAAGUGUUUGCAUUAUAAGAUGGUAGCUGCCAUUGCGGUUACUGUUGCAGUGUUGCUGAUCAUGUUAUUCUGCUAUGUUCCCUCAUUGCAGUAUCCCAGAAUCAUCUUCACUACCGUAUUUUGUUAUUUUACCUCCCUGCUAAUCUUGUCCUGUUGUCUUGAUUCGGGACGACCUCCCUUAGAAGACCGCUUCUGCACGUCUUCCGAAAAGGAAGAGGAAACCACCAGUGAUCCCCCAAAAUAUGAGGAUGUUGUGGCCCAGGAAACAUCCAGGACAAUACUCUUGGAGGAUGAGCAGAAUGAUGUGCUCGAUAGUAAUGUAAACUCUACGUAUCAAGAGCCCCCUCCACCCUACCAUGAGGCAGUAAUCGGACCUAUUGUAGACAAUGAAGAAGUUUCGAGUAGUACUAUGUAGUUUAAAGUGAGCAGUGAGAGAAGAUUGCAUAGUACAGGUAGUCCCCGGUUAUAGGCUGGGGUUCCAUUUUCAGCAGGGUGCCUAAAAGCGGAAACCCCCAUUAACCAAAACUUGGUGAUUUAUGGCGCUUAUGGUGCAAAUAUCCAGUCAACGGCGCCAAUAACUGGUCAGUGGUGCCAAUAACAGAUUAAUGGUGUCUCCUUUAGGUAUGUUAUGGUGCCAUAACUCUAUUAUUGGCACCUUAUGGCGCCGAUAACCGGAACUCAGCUCAUUAUGGCGCCAUAAAUCACCGAUUUGUCUAGCACCAUGAAACCGGAUUGCCAUUAACCGAGUCCGCUUAUAACGUAGGACUGCCUGUAUUAUGUUUUAUAGUAUUUAUCUGUGAUGAUUUUACAUUAAAAUUAACUCAGAAAGAGGCAUUAAGAUUGUAUCAUCCAAUUUAGAAAAAACUUUGACAUUAUGCUUCAGUUGUGAAUUUACUUAAAUUGUCAAAAAGACUGACUGUCAUACCUGUAAAUGGGUCUAUGAUUUAUUUUUAUUUAUUUUUUUACAACAGUGGACAGAUUUCUUAGAUGCCCUUUUGCAUGAUAUCGCAUAAAAGUAUACAGGUAAACAUUUACUUAGAAAUCUAAAAAGCUUUCUAGUCUUCCUUGACUAUCAUGAGAAUUGUAGUACGUAUUGCAAUUUAUUAAGAGUUUAGGCUUUGAUUCCAAUUGAAUCACAAUUAAGUACUUGUGUAGUAAAUGGCUAUAAUUAAAGAUCAGUUACAAUGUUUAGUACUGUGAUGGCUGUGAAAAAAUCUGACAGUACAUGGCAGAAUUUGUCAUAUUUAUUAUUGUAUUUUGAUUGCUGUCAGCUCUGCUUAGGAAUUAGUUAAUUUGGUUCUGUAGUGAACAGUUUCAGGCAUUCACCUAUUUUCAUCUUAGGGUUGCCUUUUCAGACACAUUUUAUUAUUGCAGGAAAAGGUUGAGUUUAGUUUUAACUCUUUAGUUGUGUCAUUGAAUCUCAUGUUUUGAGCUCUUCUUUGCUUAUGAAGUAGGGAAUGAAACAUUUCUUUCACUUAUUGUAUAUGUAUUAAGUUUCAAUUGGUGCUGACAAAUGGUGGACUCAAUAAAUGGGAAAAUCAACUUGUUGAAAAUUAGUGAGGUGUAAUGUCACUGAGAGUCUGAACUGUAAUUAGAUGUUAAGGUUAUGCUGGUUUGACGUUCGGCUAGGAAAAAUGCAACUUCAUAAAUCUACAUACAGGCAGUCCCCGUGUUGCGUUGUGGGUUCCAUUCUGAUGCCACGCUGUAACCUGGAAAACGAUGUAACCUAGAGUGUCACAAGAAGAAUUUAUAAAAAUGAGAAAUAAAGGGAUGAAAGCCUCUGUUUGUACAGCAAAUUGUAAAUUUAAGUACUGCUCUAUACUUUAUUUAGGCAGUUUAGAUGCAUAGAUAGAGUAAUUUAACAUUGUGUGUAUUUUGUACCAGGUUCAAUCAUAUCUUGUAUAGCAUAAAAGGCAUUCUUAUGUGAAAUAACUUUGAUAUGUGUUUGUGUUGUGCAGAAAUAUAGAAGAAAUGCUCAUUACUGCCCCCCCCCCCCUUUCCCUCUUGAAUAGUAACUUUCAUAUACUAUAUGUGAAAGUUAUUACUGGUAUUGCAGUACAUACUGUUUACUGUUAGUCCAACAACAUGUUGAACAUCAUGACAGGUGUUUUGUAGCAUACAUGAUUUUUUAUCAACGAAUCAUAAUUGUGAUAGUUUUCUCUGUUUCUUCACUACUUGUAUGUAUAUGCAGUGAUAUGCAGUUAAAGACUGUGAAAUGUAACUUCAUUUUCUGUUUAAAAUCAUCAUAAUAAUGUGUAUAACCACAUGCACAUUCAGUUGUCGGUAUGUAAUCAUAUUCACACAUAGUGUUAGUAUUUUAUGAAGAUAAAUGUUAUCUUAAUGAUAUUCAGAGAAUCUAGUCAGUAAAGACAAGAAUUAGUGCAAAUUUUCAAAGGUUAGUUGCAAAUAAUCUGUUAGGUCUGCCAUAUGUAAUGCAUUGAUAAAUUAGGAAACUAGAAUUUCUUUGAAUUCAUUAAGUCAUUAGCCUAUAGAUGUAUGUUUAAUUGACUUAAUUAUUUGUGCAAUUGUAUGCUUUACAGGAAUUAUCAAAAACUAUACAAAUCAAAGCUAGACCAUCAAACCAGUGGUUGAUAGUGUUGCUUCAUUGUAAGAAACUAUGAUGGUUUUUUGUAUUCUUUCUUCUAGUGUUGUAAGCUAGUCAGGGAUAUUAAAUAAUGGUUGUAAGACAACACUUAGUAGUAUUGGGACAUUCAUAAAAGACAUAAUUUAUCACACAGUUAGGACUAGCUAAUAUUUUGUAAGCUGUUAGGUAAACAGUCAUACUUUUUCUGUUGUGGGGUCAGUGCCCUGGAGUGUUCUGGAGGUUAUAUGAAUAUUUUGACCAAAUAUCGUAAGUUUAGACAGCAAUGCAGUGCUAUGAUAGAUGCUCAUAGAUGUAUUUUGUGAAAUUUUUUGUAUCUUGUCACUAAAUUUUUUGUAAAUGAGUGGCUCAAAUUAUUCAAUAUUGUAUGUUUUUUUAUAAUUUGCCUUUUAUUUUGUAAAUUCCAUAAACAUAUGGUGUAAUUUACCGUAAAACAAAUUAACUAACAUAUCGUGUCUUUUUUGACGAAAAUCAAGUGGAUAACAUGCAUGUGACACUGAUAAAAUGAAGCUUGUCUUUUGUCACUUAUGCACACAGUUUAGUAUUAGCUUGCUAGCCAACCCUUUGGCACAUUGGUUACUGUCAUGAGCAUAUUCCCUUAUUGUGAACAAGAGUAAUAAGUUAAUUAUGAUGGUUUAUCAAGAUGGUUAAAAUACAUCAUUUUUAUUGAGGUGCAGUAGUGUAACAGAAAUCCAGAUGCCCAGGUAUCUGCUUAAAGCAAAAUGGCUCCUAUGUACUGAGAUAUUUUUGUUUAAUUUUAGCCUGUUGGGUUACUAUUGGCCAGAAAUUGGAUGGAUGGAUGGAUUAUGAAAUUUAGGGACAAGCCCAAGCACUGGGACCUAUUAUGGUCAUUCAGCGCCGUAAUGGAAUGAAAUAUAUAAUCUGAUAAUUAAUGAAAUGUAAUUGAACGUGAUGAUAAUCUCAUGUGAAUGAAACUUAAAAACCUUAUUUCAUUAAAAAAAAUUAUGUUUUUUUUAUAUUGAAAUACAAUUAAAAGUAUAACUGCAUAUGUACUGAGAUAUUUUUAUUUAAUUUUAGCCUGUUGGGUUACUAUUGGCCAGAAAUUGUACAUCUUUUAAGAAAAACAUUGAGAAGAUAAAAAUAAAAUAUCAUAACAA